rnacentral:lncRNA from 1 species
AAACGGAUUUCGAGCAUAUCUGCAGCGCUAUUUUGUAUUGCUCCCCAUUGCAGGUUUGCAACGCGGAACUUCGCAUUCUUGUUGUGGACCCCCGGUUCCCUGGUUCGUGCCAUGACUCUUGGGUGUGGCAGCGUAACCCACUGCGUGCACGCCUAGCCGCACAACUGCAGCCUGGCGAGUAUCUGCUUGGAGACUCAGGAUAUCCUCUCGAGCCAUGGCUGCUUGUUCCAGUACCUGGCAGCCAUGCCGGCACCACCUCUGAAGGCCACUACAACCAGGAGCACGCAUCCAUGCGCAAUGUUGUGGAGAGAUGUAUCGGGGUGUUGAAAAGCAAGUUCCGCUGCCUGCAGCGCUUUCGGACACUGCUAUACAGCCCCGAUAGAGCAGCGCGAAUCAUUUAUGCAUGCGUUGCCCUCCAUAACAUUGCCUUGGAGGCGGGCGACUGGACAUUGGACGAUUAUGGUGGGGAAGUGCCGCCAGCUGAGGAGCCAGAGGAGCCAGGAGACAUCCAGGUGCUGGCACCACACGACGUGUUCCUCAGAGGAAGGCAGCAGCGCAGCGCCGUUGUCAACCUUUUCUGAAGGACACAGGAAUGGUGCUCAGCGAUGUCCUGCGCUAUGGCGCGCACCUGUUCCAGGAUCCCCUCCUGGGCUGCUGCCGUCCGUUCUGCCGCGACAGCGAGGCGGGUUGUGG